rnacentral:rRNA from 1 species
GAUGAACGCUAGCGGCAGGCCUAAUACAUGCAAGUCGGACGGGAUUUGGGAGCUUGCUCCUAAUGAGAGUGGCGCACGGGUGCGUAACACGUAUGUAACCUACCUUAAUCAGGGGGGUAGCCUCUCGAAAGAGAGAUUAACACCGCAUAAUAUAUUUUUAUGGCAUCGUAGAAAUAUCAAAUAUUUAUAGGAUUAAGAUGGGCAUGCGGAACAUUAGCUAGUUGGUAAGGUAACGACUUACCAAGGCUACGAUGUUUAGGGGAUCUGAGAGUAUGACCCCCCACACUGGUACUGAGACACGGACCAGACUCCUACGGGAGGCAGCAGUAAGGAAUAUUGGUCAAUGGGCGCAAGCCUGAACCAGCCAUGCCGCGUGCAGGAAGACGGCCCUAUGGGUUGUAAACUGCUUUUGUACCGGAAUAAACCCUUUUACGUGUAAGAGGCUGAAUGUACGGUAAGAAUAAGGAUCGGCUAACUCCGUGCCAGCAGCCGCCGUAA